UAGCUCAAGUCCGUUUGUGAUUCACAUGAACUCUUUUUCAUCAAUCCCAAUGCUAUAGCUAUAGACUUUAAGGAUUCAGCUUCUCAAAUUCCAUAGGACUACUCUCCUCUGUUAGCAUCGAUAGAUUUCAUCUAGAUACAUAUCUUGCUCCUAUAGUGGAUCAACUGUCACCAACAUCCAUUAUAUAGACUCAUUGAGAUCAUGUUUAUGUGUAGUCAAACUCUAACAACCUCACUAUGAGCAGUUGUGGCACCGUAGGUCAAAGGACCAGUCGCACAACUGCAGCAUCGAGAAAGUCGCUAAUGAGUGAGUAGACACCCAUGUGACUUCUCGUAUUGGUCAUGCUCUGUGCUAGUUAUUCUUUAACAACCACCUAUACUUUUCUUUCAGUAUCUAUACAUCGC
rnacentral:lncRNA from 1 species